ACCCCAGGUCCUCAAAAUAUUUUACCAAAUUUAUUUGGUAAAAAAAAAAAAUAUAUGGUAAAAUAUUUUGAGGACCUGGGGU